UUCAAUAUUAUGCACACUAAUAAUUCAAUAUUACAUCUAAACAGUUUAUUUUGUUUAUCUUAAUUUGCAUAAUUUCGUAAACGACGUAUGUAUACACCGAUUAAAUCACCUGGUUGUCUGCACAAUCUUUCGAAUUAUUAGGACACGUAAACGCCUUAAUCAGAGUUACAGAGCUAUAUUUGAGUUCGGAAAAACUGAAAGUAUCCAUUUUAGAAAUAGUUUUCAUAUACAAACUUUAUAUGUCCGAAAUCGUCUUCACAAAAAUAACAUGGUCACUUUGGUAGAACGUGUCUUUUGAUUGGCGGUUUUCUGCAUAUCAGAUGUGUCCAUGUAAACAUAAUUAAUAGGGAAGUCGUUGCAAAGGAUGUAAUCGAACCAUAAUCUGCACCCCAAACAAUCAUGUGCAUGGAAUAUAUGUUUGAUUUUAGACGAUCAAAAAUGAAAUGAAUGCAAAUAACUACAGUUCAAAUAAAAUACAACUGACUGAAAUUACUGUCUUUUGACCAUUUAGAUCAGCUCUGAAAAAGAUCUGAUAAAAUACCAAUUAGUGGGGGGAAAAGAAUAGAAUUGGGGCUGCCUGUCUAAACGUAGCCAUGGAGCAAUACAAUUCGAAAGGGUGGCAUUAGGACCCCUACACGAACUGUGCUCGGUAAACUCUUCUACAAGCAUGUGAUCAUGUGUCAGCAAGCCACUCAAAGCAGUCAGAACCCCCUUAUAAUCAGAACAGAGACCAACUGAAAGGCUCCCCACCACCAUAUCAACAUGGAUUGCGGAAUUAUUACAUCGAAAAUGGUCAUUUUGUUUCUAAGUUUAAUAUUUUGGGCUGCGGGGGGUGCCCUUGUCUACGUAGGCUCUUAUGUCAUCAAGAGCUACAGCAACUUUGACAACUUCCUGCAGGAUAAGUACACGUUCAUCCCAGCAGGCAUCAUCAUACCCACGGGAGUGGUGAUGUUCAUCAUCGGGACUGUGGGGUGCUACGCCACCCUGAGUGAAUCCAAAGUGGGCCUUAGCUUUUUCCUGUUGAUUAUCCUGGCUAUCUUUGCAGCAGAGGUCACUGCUCUAGUUUAUGGGUUCAUCUACCAAAGCAAGAUAAAAGGGAACUUGGAGCGGUCAAUGAGUGCUGUGUUCAUGAAGUAUGAUGGUGAAAACUCUGACACCCAGGCUGUGGAUUACUUGCAGUCUCAGUUGCAGUGCUGUGGAGUGCAGACCUACCUGAACUGGACCACCACCCCCUGGUUCAGCAGCAUUAAGAACACUGUGCCCGUCUCCUGUUGUAAAGAGAACCACACCGAGUGUACAGGCAAACUGGACCAGCUAGACCUGCUCAAUACCCUGGGUUGUGAGGGUAUGCUGGAAAAGCUCCUUCAGGAUGUGAUGAGUUAUGCCAUGCUGGUCAUCCUUGGAUUUUCCACCUUCAAGGUACUGUACCUGGCUGUCCUCUGACUUAAUAAAUGAAAUGUUAUGUCGCAUUUCCAAUAUCAGACUUUGCACCGGUGUUUGGCCUAAAGCUGCAUGCUUUUGUGUUUCCACCUCUGAGGCCAGGCACAACCCCCUCCACCCCAGAAUUCUUGGGCUGUGAAUGUCUUGGGGCCAGAAUGGGGAUAGUGGGACUUCUUUGAGAUGUUUUUGGGUCGCUCAGUGUGUGCGUGAUCACAUGUAAAGUUGCCAGGCGAGAUGGCUACCAGUCCCUGAAUGCCUGAUGCUGUUGGCUUGAAGGAUACUUCUGAGGCUUGUCUUGCACGAUCUCCUUUGCCUUGACUCCUCUCCCCUUUCUCCAGCACUGAGACUAUAGAGCUUUAGGACUUAUGUUCCCCACUCCAAGAUUUUAGCAUCCUUUCAGGAACAUUCUUAGAGUUUUCAUUCAGCUUUCCUAUGUAGUUGUCAGCCCACCAGUGGGCAAACCAUUGUCAACAUUUGAAGCAUUGCAAACCACAAGAUGCCUUUUUUUUUUUUAAUUCUUUUUUUUAAGAUGUUUGCAUAUAGGAAUUACCACUCAAACUUUUAAACAAUGGAAGUUGGUUUUGUAAUUUCCUGCUGUGCAUACUGAAAAAAUAAGAAAGGGUUUGCUCAGUGACAUAUCAGUAUAUGGGGUACACUUCAUUUUGAAGAGGCAAUCUGGGACUCAAACAAUAACAAAGCGGCUGACCCCGCAGUUAUUUUGGUAAACAGCUGAUUGCUGGUGCUGGAGAAGUGUAACCAUUCUCAAAUUCAUAGACGGAUCUAUGGAUACAAAGACUUACCAUAUAUUAGAUCAAAAUGAAUGUUUUCCUUUUUUUUUUAAAGUGGGACAGUGUUUGUUUACAAUUGCAUUGUUUACAAACAAUGGAGUAAAAAGGCUUAUAUUUUGGAUUCUGAUGGGGUAAGACAGUUUAACUAAGCACAUGAGGCUUUUAAGUAUUAUUUUUCAAUAAUCAAUUGCUAUAUAUCAUUCAUUUAUUGACCAAAAAUGUAUGUGCCACUCCCAGAUGAACCCUUUUUUUAAGGUAUUGAAGUGUUAUGUUGAAAUGACCAAGGACUUUUUAAGACUUCAACACAUCAGGGUAGUAGGCUCUGUUUAAUCAAGACUGGAUUGUCUAGGAUAUACAGUAUUACAUUAUGAAAGAACUGUCAAGAUUAUUUGGUAAAUUAUUUGAUCAAUCUAAGGGACAGUUUGAAAUGUACGGGAGGGUGGGGUGGUGUCAUAAAGAAAAUGCCCCCCCCCAAAAGUAAAAAUAUUUUCAAAUGACCUUCCUCUUGUACUGUAAAAAAAACAUUGCACGCUCUCCCUACUCAUAGAGUUAACUCAAAAAUAAUGUUUAUGACCACAAAUAAUAGCUGUAGUGACCCUGUGUUUAUAAACGUGGAUAUUGACUUUGCCACUUCAGCAUGCUUUUGUGGCACUGUCGAUGCCACACAGGGCUACGGGCCAGAAGGUUGAGUGUUUGUCGGCCACCACGGACUAGCUCCCUGCCUGUUUCAUUAGGGCUUACACUAUGAUCGGAGCCGGCUGCAGACAGUGAGCAACAAGAGGACUCAGAUUUUUUACAUUUUGAUGCCAUAUUUCUCAUUAUAUAAAAUAUAUGGAAUGAAUUUUCCACCGACAGGUUUCUGUGCCAAUGCACCACACAACCAAUAAACAAUGCAUUCCGACUUUGGGCAUUCCGACUUCAACAUCACAAUAAAUAGACUGUCAAUCUCGACAAACAGGAAAUAAAUCCCUCCCUACCUUGUAGUCCUACGGAGUAUCAAAGACUUGGCUUGACAAUCUCAGAAUGUCAUUCAACAUUGUGGUGUUUUGUAACAUGUCUCUUUCCAUUCAUCAAUUGGCUGUUGCACAUUUUGGAUUCAUUGAUUUUAUUUGGCAGUAAAAAAGUGACCUGGGUUGCACAAUAAAGUCAGGGACUUAUUUCCAA